CUCAGCCGCCAUAUCGGUCUUUCGGAGCUCGGAGUUAACUUGCUGCAGGUAUGUUGCCGUGUACCGUAUCUCUGGGACCGUUGGCAUCAUACAGACAGAUCUUUGGCAAAGUGGGAUGAACAGUGAGGAACUGAAAGAAGUUGGAUUAGCCAUGGGUGUGCAGAGUGCUAUAAUGGAAAAACAAGAUGAAAUGCGAGAAGUGUUGGAGAUGGCAGAUAAAUGGGCAAACAUGGCCUGGUGAUGGAAUUACUUGGACAACUUUGAAACUACUGGUUGCAUGUUUUCAUUUGGAUGGCUUGCUUGGGUAUGAAUCCUCUGCCUACAUACUAGAAGAGUGCAUUGGAGAAGCAGUCUUUGCUCUUCUAAGUUCACCUUUUAAAUGAAGGUGUCUUGCAUGGCUCUCCUUGACUGAAGGCUCCAGGAAGCUUUUACAUGAAGAUCCUUCAUUUUGAAUUUCAAGGGCUCUUAUGGCAGAAGUGGACAGAUUGGCAAUUUCACCUCACUAUUUAAAAGGUGACUGGAUGGAGACUCAGAAGAUUAUUCCUCAGGCUGUUUCCCAUCAUAGUUAACUUCAAAAAGUUAAUCAAUAAACUGAAUGGAAUUAAA